AAGAAGGAAGUAGAGAAAGAUGAGGAGGAAGAAGAUGAAGAAGAGGAGGAUGACGAAGAAGAUUCAAGUCAUGAGGAAAAUGGGCCCCAGCUGUCUGAUGAUGAUGUGAGUAGUCCCACAGAAAUCGACUCGGCACCCCCCUCUCCACAGGAAAAUCGACGCCUACAACGAGUCCACCCCCCACGUUCACGGAUACCUGUACUUGUUGGCAAGAUGAAAAGAAAAAGCUAUGGUUGUAGAGAAGAAGUUUGGAUCCCUCCAUUUAAAAGACCUUGUCGAUCAGAUGACUUUGACAGUCAAAGUACAUUUGGAAAUUUAAAAAAGACUACAAUCAUUCCAUCCUAUGCUGGAGGUCAUCGUCCUAGAAUUCCAUCCAAAGAACACCCCCCUCCCAGACUCAUGGAGUGGCUACAAACAUUUCAGAUGUGGAGCAAUGCAGAGCGUCUGAUGGCAGUAGAUGAGCUGAUUCAGAUCUGUGAACCCACUCAGGUGCGACACAUGAUGCAGGUCAUCGAGCCUCAGUUCCAAAGGGACUUCAUCUCACUUCUUCCAAAAGAGUUGGCAUUAUACGUUCUAUCAUUCCUUGAGCCCAAAGCCCUGUUAAAGGCGGCCCAGACCUGUCGUUACUGGCGGGUCCUGGCGGAGGACAAUCUUCUGUGGAGGGAGAAGUGCAAGGAGGAGGGGAUCACAGAGACCCUGGUGUACGGCUCCAACCGUCUCCGGCGCCGCACGGGAAGUAGGAGUCCUUGGAAGGCCCUAUAUAUGAGGCAGCAUCAGAUCGAACAGAACUGGAGGGCAGCCGAACUCAGGAGUCCAAAGCUUUUGCGGGGACAUGAUGAUCAUGUGAUAACGUGUCUAGAGUUCUGUGGCUCUCGGGUGGUCAGUGGUUCUGAUGACAACACACUCAAAGUAUGGUCUGUCAUCACAGGCAAGUGCUUAAGGACCUUGGUGGGACACACAGGAGGGGUAUGGUCCUCUCAGAUGGAAGACAACAUCAUCAUAAGUGGCUCAACAGACCGGACACUCAAGGUGUGGAACGCGGACACGGGGCAGUGUAUCAACACACUGUAUGGCCACACCUCCACGGUCAGGUGUAUGCACCUCCACAAAAAUAUAGUUGUGAGUGGUUCUAGGGAUGCCACACUCAGAGUGUGGGACAUCCACAGUGGUGUUUGUAAACACGUGUUAAUGGGUCAUGUGGCGGCAGUGCGGUGUGUGCAAUAUGAUGGGAAACGGGUUGUCAGUGGUGCUUACGAUUACAUGGUGAAAGUGUGGGACCCAGAGACGGAGACUUGUAUCCACACUCUGCAGGGACACACCAACAGGGUCUACUCCUUACAGUUUGAUGGGGUUCACAUUGUGAGUGGAUCCUUGGACACCUCCAUUCGAGUGUGGGACGUGGAGUCUGGGAACUGUCUACACACGUUGAUUGGUCACCAGUCAUUGACCAGUGGACUCGAGCUGAAGGACAACAUACUGGUCUCAGGAAACUGCUGACUCAACUGUCAAAGUGUGGGACAUCACAACGGGCCAGUGCUUACAAACUCUACAAGGGCCAAACAAACACCAAAGUGCCGUCACAUGUCUGCAGUUCAACAAGAAGUUUGUGAUCACAUCAUCAGAUGACGGAACUGUUAAAAUAUGGGACUUAAAAUCUGGGGACUUUCUGAGGAACCUGGUCUCUCUGGACAGUGGGGGGAGUGGGGGGGUCGUGUGGAGAGUCAGGUGCAGUAACACCAAACUCGUGUGUGCGGUGGGCAGUCGAAACGGCACAGAGGAAACCAAACUGUUAGUCCUGGACUUUGAUGUAGAAGGACAAAAAGACUUGAGUGUCUAUGUGUGUUUGUGUGUGUGUACUUGUGAUAAUCCCCCCAGUGCUUCAAGCAUUCGGUGUGUCGGUUUUUGAUGCAAUUACUUCUCACGGGUCAACAGUGCUUUAGCACACUAAUGAAACAUUUUGGGCAUAAUGCUAGAACUGUAUCACUUUGUAGACUAUGGUCAGUACAUCAUCAUAUUUUCAUCGUCAUCAUCUUUAUCAUCAUCAUCAUCAUCACCUAUCAAUGGUUAGUGUAACAUGUCCAUGACACACUCCCUACCGUUGUUUGAGGGUCUGUGUGUAGAGCUAUGGAAACUCCUACCCUGCAAUGUAAAUCCUGUUGUCUGUGAAUGUGUGUUGUUAGCAUGAAUGGGGUAGGUAGACUUCUUCAGUACUGUGUACUUCAUAUUGUAACAACUGUGAGGCCAGCAGAUAAUCUAAUUACUGAUAUGUGCAUUGAAAAAAAUCAUGAAUUGAUCAUCUAAUUAUUGGUGAAAGUCACGAAACAUUAGGAAAAAUGGUAUUAAUGUGUGGGGAAUUGCUAUUCUUUACUACAGUUGAAACUGAAAUGCACCUCUUUUAUAAAUGCAAGUAUUUUAUCCUAGUAACCCUUUUUUCACCAUCUGUUCCAGUUGCAGUUUAAUUGAGUAUACCAAUUAAAACAAGUU
rnacentral:misc_RNA from 1 species